CCCGAGGCCGCCUCUGCGCGUCCCCUGCACCGUGCGGGCGCCGCCAGAAGGAGGCCGGCGCGGAGCGGAGCCCGGGGAACGUGAGUCCUGACAGGCCGUUCCCCUCCGCUCUCACAGCCGGGCUCCGCGCCGCGGGCAGAUGCAGAAACUGAGGCACUGAGACUGCCAGCAGCGUGCAGUGGUGGGAAUGUCCCCAAGGCAGAAGUGAAUCAAGAUUCUUAGAUGAUGAGAGCUCCAUUGAAAGAAAAAAAGUACACUAAGUGAGGAAACAGACAUUGAACACCUACUCUGCCAGAUAUUGGUGUGCAUGGGUGCUCAGCUGUUCAGGCACGUCCGUCUCUUUACGACCUCUUGGACAGUAGCCCACCAGGCUCCUGUGUCCAUGGAAUUUUUCUGGCAAGAAUAUUGGCUGCUGCUGCUGCUAAGUCGCCUCGGAUGUGUCCGACUCUGUGUGAUCCCAU